GACGAACGCUGGCGGCGUGCUUAACACAUGCAAGUCGAACGGCAAGGCCCUGCUUUUGUGGGGUGCUCGAGUGGCGAACGGGUGAGUAACACGUGAGUAACCUGCCCUUGACUUUGGGAUAACUUCAGGUAACUGGGGCUAAUACCGGAUAGGCGCUCCUGCUGCAUGGUGGGGGUUGGAUCGUUUCGGCGGUUGGGGAUGGACUCGCGGCUUAUCAGCUUGUUGGUGGGGUAGUGGCUUACCAAGGCUUUGACGGGUAGCCGGCCUGAGAGGGUGGCCGGCGACAUGGGGACUGAGAUACGGCCCAGACUCGUACGGGAGGCAGCAGGGGGGAAUAUGGCACAAUGGGCGGAAGCCUGAGGCAGCAACGCCGCGUGCGGGAAGACGGCCUUCGGGUUGGAAACCGCUUUCGCCGGUGACGAAGCGUGAGUGACGGUAAUGGGUAAAGAAGCACCGGCUAACUACGUG
rnacentral:rRNA from 1 species